CCAGGGUGUCACUGGGUUUGUUGCUACCUAUUCGCAAUUCCACCACUCGGGAUGUUUAAGACGGAAUCAGCACGAGUGUAAGAAUUUCACACCAGUAAGAAUAUAAAACAAAGAAGUGACAUAGAGACAAAAGGACACAGGGCCAGAAUCAGGCACGAACGUCGACGUCGAUGGAGGGUGAAGCGGACACGAUCCGCUGGAGGCCAUCGCUUGAGCAGCCGGGGCCAGCGAGCCUUCUUGGGCCAGGAGUGCAUCAGCUCCACCGUCGGCACCAAUUCCACUUCGAUCUGGGCCUCUGAUGUCUCCACGGCAACACGGACCACCGAGCCCAUCGUGUCAAGGACGCUGACUUUACCUGGCAAGCCAGAACAAGCCAAAACAUCAAGCGUUUUGCAUCCAUCGAUCAUCUGUGCCGGUGAAUUUACAUCACCGAUACCUCUUAUUUAUUAUUAUUUAUCUAUUUACUCAUUCACCAUUUUACUCCUGCAUAAAACUUAUGUACUCUUCUAUCAUUGCAUGCUCUAAACAUUCUAAACAUUCAUACUUUAAUCACUGUUUACUUCUACAUUGUGUAUUAAUGUUGUCAUUGAUUUUUUUUUUAGCUUGUCCAGUCUACCACUGCAUAUAUAUGUAUAUAUAUGUAACCCCACAGGCAUGGGGAACGUUAUUUCGCAUUGCCGUAUGCAGUGUAUUGAAUAUGGUUGGUGUGACAAGUCAAGCUCCACUUGACUUGACUUGAUUUGAUUAAACAAAAUGGCUCCACCUUCUGGAUGAGGCUCACACCUGCCAUAGUGUGAGUCUUCUGUAACAUAAAGCUAAAUCUUCAUAAACCUA